rnacentral:lncRNA from 7 species
GAAAAGGCACAUCUUUAUGUGUACAGCCUCCGACUCGGCAGUUCCCUUCCACAUGUAGCCAUGGUAGUUGUAAACUUCAGAGUAAAAGGAAGUAACACACUGCCUGAGUCUGGUGUUUCUGAGCUCAGGCAUACCAAAAUUCAGCUCUUGCAGUUAUGGAGAAGGAAAAAAAGCCAGAGCACAGAUGAAUGUUUGUGGAUGACUUUGUGUGAUGGUCAUUUGCCGUGUUGCCAUAGAAGAUGUGUUUGAAUUACAAAAAACUGUGACGGGCAUGUUUCUCUGUAGUCCAUACAUAAGCCAUGUGAGCAAGCAGUUAUGCAAGGGCUUCUGCAGCAGUUAAUAUCAUACCGAAGUGAUUUGUAAGUCAUAGAGAUUUAUUCAUGGUAAUGUGUUUUUUUUUUUCAGUAUUUCUGGACAUGUGAGUACGUCAUUCCAGAACGGUGUCAGUGAUACCUUAUGCAGAGACAAAACAGACAAAUACCCCAGAAGGUUGGGGGGGGUAUUCCCUGCCUGGCUAUGUUCCUUUCCUCAUAAAGCCUGGACUACCUGUGUUUGCAAUGCAGAAAGCUCACAUUCGGCGAGCUUUAGAAAACACAUUUAGCCCCUGCUUACUAAAAUAUGGCCCACCAUCCUGCACAUGUUAUUGUUCUGUUCCUACAUGCAUGGCCUUGCAGGGAUUCCAAGAAAAAUGCUUCCUAAAAUACUACACAUAACUUAAACUUGGCUGUGCAUGCAAAGGAAAAGCAAUUAAGGAUAAAAAUAUUGUCUCAAAUCCAAGGAGUUUGAGACAGGAACAUUGUUAUUGUUCCCCUGAAGAAAUCGGAGUGCAUUCACAUUUAAUGUUUUCUCAGAAGCUGCUCUGAACUUUCCUAGAAAGAAUUAAGAGAGGUGGCACAACCAGUAAUUCCAAUGAUCCUUUACAUUAAAUGAACCUCUUAAACGAACCAACAGAACUCAU